rnacentral:rRNA from 1 species
GCCAGCGGCGAUAGGCACGUUGAAUGCACCAGUUCUUAAUGGAUCACUGAAGUUAAGCAACGUUGAGCGUUAUUAUCCGGAAGGGUGACCAUUUGGGCAAUACUUCCCAUUUAGGUGCUGGGU